rnacentral:rRNA from 1 species
CCUACGGGAGGCUGCAGUGGGGAAUAUUGGACAAUGGGCGAAAGCCUGAUCCAGCCAUGCCGCGUGUGUGAAGAAGGCCUUCGGGUUGUAAAGCACUUUCAGUGGGGAAGAAAGCCUUGGGGCUAAUACCCUCGAGGAAGGACAUCACCCACAGAAGAAGCACCGGCUAACUCCGUGCCAGCAGCCGCGGUAAUACGGAGGGUGCGAGCGUUAAUCGGAAUUACUGGGCGUAAAGCGCGCGUAGGCGGUCUGAUAAGCCGGUUGUGAAAGCCCCGGGCUCAACCUGGGAACGGCAUCCGGAACUGUCAGGCUAGAGUGCAGGAGAGGAAGGUAGAAUUCCCGGUGUAGCGGCGAAAUGCGUAGAGAUCGGGAGGAAUACCAGUGGCGAAGGCGGCCUUCUGGACUGACACUGACGCUGAGGUGCGAAAGCGUGGGUAGCAAACAGGAUUAGAUACCCCAGUAGUC